rnacentral:rRNA from 1 species
GACGAACGCUGGCGGCGUGCUUAACACAUGCAAGUCGAACGGAAAGGCCUCUUUCGGGGGGUACUCGAGUGGCGAACGGGUGAGUAACACGUGAGUAACCUGCCCUUGACUUUGGGAUAACUUCAGGAAACUGGGGCUAAUACCGGAUAGGAGCUCCUGCUGCAUGGUGGGGGUUGGAAAGUUUCGGCGGUGGGGGAUGGACUCGCGGCGUAUCAGCUUGUUGGUGGGAUAGUGGCUUACCAAGGCUUUGCCGGGUAGCCGGCCUGAGAGGGUGACCGGCCACAUUGGGACUGAGAUACGGCCCAGACUCCGACGAGAGGCAGCAGUGGGGAAUAUUGCACAAGGGGUGGAAGCCGGAUGCAGCAACGCCGUGUGCGGGAUGACGGCCUUCGGGUUGUAAACCGCUUUCGCUCAUGACGAAGCUUUGUGUGACGGUAGUGGGUAAAGAAGCACCGGCUAACUACGUG